UCCCCUGUAGCUCAGUUGGUAGAGCAUGGUGCUUGAGCCGCCAGGGUUGUGGGUUCGUUUCCCACGGGGGGCCAA